GACUGGACGUGGCACUCAGUGCUCUGGGCUGGGGGACGAGGUGGAGACCGGGCACAGGGUGAUCUUAAUGAUCUUGAAGGUCUUUUCCAACCUCAGUGAUUGUGGGAUUCUCUGAGUCUCGGGCUCUCCCGGCUGGUGAGAGCGGGUGGGCGAGCACUCGCCUCCAGCGACGUCAGCGCCGCUCGGCCGGCAGCCAGCGCUGGGGAGGGGGCGAGAGGCGCUUCUCUGGAAAGUACUUCCACACCCACCACGAACCCUCUGGGAUAGACGUGAUCUUUGCCACCUAAGAACGAAAGCUGAAUUUGCAGCAGCAGUAAUGCCCAAGCCACAUCUGGCUUGUGAUGCACAUGGGAUCAGAUCGGGACUUUGGGAGGAGGAGGAUCUGGAUUCAGAGAUAUGAAAGGCGAAGCAGAGACAUCUGAUGGGGCUCCAGCGCUGACUCACUGUUUGAUGUGAGGCAGGAGGAGAGAUGUGAUCAGAUGCCUCUGUGCAGAGCAGCCACCAGACAACGCGUCACCGGGAGAAGAGACUCCUGCUCCUCCCAGCCCCUCAAACAGUGGAUCAGCCCUCACCAUCCCCUGCUCCUCCUGAGCUCUGCAGAGACCACCCAGCCAGUGCAGCACCCGGAUGUCACCUCUGAAAUGGCUCUUAGGCUGUGGACUCCCCAUCCCUGGGAGUGUCCAAGGCCAGGUUGGACGGGGCUUGGAGCAACCUGGGCUGGUGGAAGGUGUCCCUGCCCAUGGCAGGGGGUUGGAGCUGGAUAACCUUUAAGGUCCCUUCCAACCCCCCAUUCCCUAUUCCCUGUCCAGGCCGUGUGCAGACGGAGGCUGGGCCGUGCUCGGUGCCGGCGCAGCCCCGGGGUGUGCCGGGUGUGCUCGCCCGGGGUUCUUUCUCACGAGAUGGUGCAACCAGCCAGCAGGGAACUGGUUAAACAGCGUGAGCUCCCGGCUGCCCGGGCUUGGCAGGGCAGGAUGUCACCAGGAAGCCGGCAUGUUUUAUUAAACACAGUAUC